GAACUAUAGGAUAUACCUUUGGUGAAAUAUAGGUCACAGCUAUAGCAUGGUUCUGAUACAAACGAAACGGCUGUUCUACAAUGGGUAAUUUUCUUGGAUCUGGGUUAGUAGCGGGCCCUAAGUAAGCGGUAGGGGGCCCUUAGUAAGAGCCCUAUGCAACCUAAACAUUGGAUUUUUGUCUUCAUUUUCGUUUUAAUCCUUUUUCAAAUGCCUUACGGGUGGUUUUGCCUAUUGAUGGUAGCUGGGAGCAUACAAGCACAGACACCUUCUACAAAUGACCUGAAAAUCAUAAACCUGAUGCCCAGCCUGGCUACUCUGUGUGGAAUGAGCGUGAAAAUGGACCCAAUGGACAAUGUCAUGUUUGCUUCUGUUCUCCUCUGAGCGAGUACUCUGUCAGUGUUGCCAACUUAGCGACUUUGUUGCUAUAUUUACGGGUGCGGCCAUGGGCCCCACCCACGUCCCAAAGCACUCACAGGCGGCCCAGUCCUCGCGCAGCAGUCCCUCCCAGCUGCAGUCAGAGCAGGAGAUGUUCACCCCUCCGUGUCCAGAAUGCAAAUGAAUCAUGCAUGCAGGAAGCCGCCGCUGGCUGAUCUCGCCCUGGCUUACAUUCAGGGCAGGAUGUAAAAUGUUCUUUGUCUAAAAUAAAUAGCUGCAUUUGA